GGACCUGUAGCUCAGUUGGCUAGAGCGUUGCAUUCACAUUGCAAAGGCCAGAGGUUCAAGUCCUCUCAGGUCCACAA
rnacentral:tRNA from 1 species